GGGGAUUUAGCUCAGUGGUGGAGCACUUGCCUAGCAAGUGCAAGGCCCUGGGUUCAGUCCCCA
rnacentral:tRNA from 1 species